UUCAGUAGUUUGUGGGUGGAGUUUCUUAAAAGUGAGCUCACUGAGCUGAGAAUGGAACUGAGAAGUAACAAGAACUCCUAAAGUCAAGAAAGAGGAGAAUAUGUAGAUGAACAGAGAGAAGAUGAACAAAAAUAAUUUAUCGAGGUAGAUGCUAAGCUCUUUUGUAUCAUGAGGGAUUGAACAAGCUAAGCUGUUUCUGCUUCAGUGAAUUACUUAUUGUUUGAUGUAGCAGAGCAAGUCACUUGAUCUAAUUAAAUUAAAAUGUAGGUUCUCUCAUCAUAAUACUAUUCCUCAAUCCUGUUUUGUUGUCAAAUUUUCUUUUGAAACUCAUUCAUCAACAUUUUUAAACUGAUAAGCUUC